rnacentral:rRNA from 1 species
GACGAACGCUGGCGGCGUGCUUAACACAUGCAAGUCGAACGGAAAGGCCCUGCUUUUGUGGGGUGCUCGAGUGGCGAACGGGUGAGUAACACGUGAGUAACCUGCCCUUGACUUUGGGAUAACUUCAGGAAACUGGGGCUAAUACCGGAUAGGAGCUCCUGCUGCAUGGUGGGGGUUGGAAAGUUUCGGCGGUUGGGGAUGGACUCGCGGCUUAUCAGCUUGUUGGUGGGGUAGUGGCUUACCAAGGCUUUGACGGGUAGCCGGCCUGAGAGGGUGACCGGCCACAUUGGGACUGAGAUACGGCCCAGACUCCUACGGGAGGCAGCAGUGGGGAAUAUUGCACAAUGGGCGGAAGCCUGAUGCAGCAACGCCGCGUGCGGGAUGACGGCCUUCGGGUUGUAAACCGCUUUCGCCUGUGACGAAUCGUGAGUGACGGUAAUGGGUAAAGAAGCACCGGCUAACUACGUGCCAGCAGCCGCGGUGAUACGUAUGGUGCGAGCGUUGUCCGGAUUUAUUGGGCGUAAAGGGCUCGUAGGUGGUUGAUCGCGUCGGAAGUGUAAUCUUGGGGCUUAACCCUGAGCGUGCUUUCGAUACGGGUUGACUUGAGGAAAGGUAGGGGAGAAUGGAAUUCCUGGUGGAGCGGUGGAAUGCGCAGAUAUCAGGAGGAACACCAGUGGCGAAGGCGGUUCUCUGGGCCUUUCCUGACGCUGAGGAGCGAAAGCGUGGGGAGCGAACAGGCUUAGAUACCCUGGUAGUCCACGCUGUAAACGGUGGGUACUAGGUGUGGGGUCCAUUCCACGGGUUCCGUGCCGUAGCUAACGCUUUAAGUACCCCGCCUGGGGAGUACGGCCGCAAGGCUAAAACUCAAAGGAAUUGACGGGGCCCCGCACAAGCGGCGGAGCAUGCGGAUUAAUUCGAUGCAACGCGUAGAACCUUACCUGGGUUUGACAUGGAUCGGGAGUGCUCAGAGAUGGGUGUGCCUCUUUUGGGGUCGGUUCACAGGUGGUGCAUGCCUGUCGUCAGCUCGUGUCGUGAGAUGUUGGGUUAAGUCCCGCAACGAGCGCAACCCUUGUUCACUGUUGCCAGCACGUUAUGGUGGGGACUCAGUGGAGACCGCCGGGGUCAACUCGGAGGAAGGUGGGGAUGACGUCAAGUCAUCAUGCCCCUUAUGUCCAGGGCUUCACGCAUGCUACAAUGGCUGGUACAGAGAGUGGCGAGCCUGUGAGGGUGAGCGAAUCUCGGAAAGCCGGUCUCAGCUCGGAUUGGGGUCUGCAACUCGACCUCAUGAAGUCGGAGUCGCUAGUAAUCGCAGAUCAGCAACGCUGCGGUGAAUACGUUCCCGGG